AUCUUUGUUACUUUUCAAAUAAAAAAUUAAAAAAUCUGUUCUUAUCAGUUUAAUAUCUGAAACAUCCCCUAUCUGGGGACCAUAUAUUAAAUGGAUUUUUCGAACAGGGAGAUGGAAAAAGAUCUUGCUCUGUCCACUCCACGCAUUGCAGUGUAAUAGAUAGACCGCCCUGACUGUCCAGUGUAUAAUCG